ensembl:lncRNA
GUAAGAAAAGCAAUAUACAUUAAACAUGCAAAGAAAGGUAAUGAUGAAGCAAGGACAGAAAAAUUGACUUGAGGAAAGUUAAGCAAAGAAGUGCAGUAAAAGUAAUAAAAGUUGUUUAGGCAAGCAGGGGCAGGUACAGCUUACACGAUUCACAGAUGAAAAACCCUGACAGCAUCUCAUUAGAAACUCAGAUUUAAAUCAGCAUCACCAUUAAGGCCAGUCCAGGCACUUAUUUUUGAAAGUUUUCUUGAAAGUGGAGUGCAGUCAAGUGACAUUUGAUUGGGAAAAAAAAUGACAUUCAUGAAGUUCACAUCCAGACCCAUUAUAUUCUCAAGAGAGGUUGAGACAAGAAAGCUACUGUGAGUUUUUUAUACUCCAAUGUCACAUGUUUUCAUCUAUCUACUGAAUUUUGUGAUAAGUAGCAACAGGAUGAUGUCAUCAGCACUUAAACACAGUCACGAAAAGAUUGCAUCAAGUUUCCCAUCCUGUUUCUAUUACUGUGUAUCACAUAUCUUCUUUAUGCGUAUGCCAAUGUUUAC